AAUCUACUUUGCACACAAUUGUAUAUUUUAAGAAAUACAUCUGAGUGUCAUGAACAUAAAAUUUUAAAUGAGACAUGGGCGCGGGAAAUGUGUACGGAAGACGCACUCCCCGGCGCCGCUCGUGGGGGGCCCAAGUCCUUCUGAUCGAGGCCCAGCCCGUGGACGGUGUGAGGCUGGUCGCGGCCCCCGGCGCGCCGGGCUCGGCUCUUCCUGGAGUCGGAUUGCUUGGGAAUGCAGCCCAAAGCGGGUGGUAAACUCCAUCUAAGGCUAAAUACCGGCACGAGACCGAUAGUCAACAAGUACCUAAGGGAAAGUUGAAAAGAACUUUGAAGAGAGUUCAAGAGGGCGUGAAACCGUUAAGAGGUAAACUGGUGGGGUCCGCGCAGUCCGCCCGGAGGAUUCAACCCGGCGGCGCGCGUCCGCCAUGCCGGUGGUCCCGGCGGAUCUUUCCCGCACCCUGUUCCAAAAAAAAAAAAAAAGAAAAAAGAAAAAGAAAUUUAUAUUAGUAAACACAGAAAUUGACUUGGGACUAUUUAAUUUUAUCUUAUUGCUUAUCCAGAGUCCAAAGGUUGUGGGCAAAUGCUAAUAACUUUUAAUUCUAUUCGUUUAAUAAAACUAAAAACUAGAGGUUUCUAUAUGGCUUUUUAAAUAACA
rnacentral:ncRNA from 1 species